CUUCAGUGAACAAAGUUGGAAUGAAUCAUUCCCUGGUGGACUACACAGAUUCUGAUGAAUCUCAGAGUCCAAGCACAAAUUAUGACCAGUUUAAUUAAAGCUGCCAGAUGGUGUCCGACUUUUGAGUCCGAACUAAGCCUCACCCACCAGGACAGAGAUUUUAUUCCAAGGCUGAGGAGGACCAAAAGCAUACAGAUAGUCAGUUAACCACACGUGGAUUGAUCUUCCUAUGGAGACUCUGCUGAACGCCACGCCACGCUCACACCCUGCCUGGACAAACCACCCCUCCGUGCUUGCCACUCUGCCUUGUUGAAACAUAUCACCCAGCUUUCUGUUGCACAUCUCAA